GGUCAUGGCAUGUCCCUGGUAUAAAUCAUCAGCAAAGGAAACCUGGAAGUAAAGCCCCAAGGAAAAGCUGAAAAAUGAGAACUAUUCUGGAGCUUCUUCUUGGGGAAAAAUUGCAGCAGGAAUAUCACGAUCGGUAACGAAUCAGAUACUCAUGGAUUACAGCCUGACUAAUGCUGACAGACACCUACUUACUCAUCACGUUUAAGUGAAAUGUGUGAACUAUUCAGAAAAUGCUGUUUCUUAUGUAUAUUGUUAUCUGGA